ensembl:misc_RNA 7SK 7SK RNA
GGAUGUGAGGAUGAUCUGGCUGCGACAUCUGUUACUCGGUCACGCCGUGGAUCACCAGGGUUGAUUCUGUUGAUCUGGCUGGCUAGGCAAGGGUCCUCUUCCUCCCUCACUGCUCCAUAUGCAUCCUUCCUAAAGCUGCAUGCUCCAUCCUAGGGGAUGGCCUUCCCCAUAGAGGAAAACCAUUCUUUGGUGAAAGGUAUCCUAGUAGCUACACUCUCCUGCUAGAACCUCCAGACAAAUUCUCAAGACAACUCUAGACAGAGAUAUCUUCCUGCACACCUUACAAAAAUCAGUACACUCACCGGGUGCAGUGGCGCAUGCCUG